rnacentral:rRNA from 1 species
GAUGAACGCUAGCGGCAGGCCUAAUACAUGCAAGUCGGACGGGAUUUGGGAGCUUGCUCCCAAUGAGAGUGGCGCACGGGUGCGUAACACGUAUGUAACCUACCUUAGUCAGGGGAGUAGCCUCUCGAAGAGAGAUUAAGACCGCAUAAAUACACAGUAUAGCAUUAUACAAUGAUCAAUAUUUAUAGGACUAAGAUGGGCAUGCGGAACAUUAGCUAGUUGGUGAGGUAACGGCCCACCAAGG